UUUGUCCCCAAACAUAUGUUGUCAGAUCUCAGCUGAAUGGGGUGGGCCAGGGGGACUCACUCAGGACCUAUGGGCUCUAUUGCGUGUCUAUGUGUUUGGGGUGUGGCGAGAGGUGUUUAUUAGACCUCACGGGGAGCCUCAUUUUCUUGCCUCCCUGGGCUCGCCUGGGCUGCUGUUCACUGUGCUCCUAAUGGGCCUCGGACUGACAUUCACAGCAACCUGGUCUCCAUAGCAACCAGCUGUGACAUCACAAGGAACCCACGGACCCUGUAGCUGGAGCAGAGGAAGCUUGAAUGCCUGUUUGGGGAAGAAAGCCUUUGCUGCCCAUCCUUAGGCCUCUCCUGUGAUAGGGGAAGAGGACAUAGAAACGCUGAGAGAGCCAGGGCCUCCGCUUCUCUGGAGUAUUCCCCCUUCUGUAAGUGGAAGGAAAGGAAGCACAGCAGAAGGAUUGGAAUCAAGACAGCCUGGCUCCAGAGCCUGUUUUCAUAACUACGAGAGAAUGCACCAGAUUCCUUCUGAACGCCGCCUGCCGCGUGCACGGCUACAACUCUAUUUCCAGCCAUGCUGUGGCAAGCAGUUCCGGGCGGGCUUCAGCUCCCUUUGCACCACCAGCACCUCGCCUCCUGUCAGCAUGAGGCAGUUUUCAUUUUCUGCCCAGGGGCUUCCGCAGCGCCCCAACACAAGGUUGGCAGAAGCGGGCUCAGCCGGAGGACUUGUGGAGGGAAGUUGCUUCCACUGAGCCAGCCUCAAUCUGGGGUGCACAGGCGCCACCAGGUGAAUGCUUCUGCCAGGCCGUCAUCUGACCCAUAAGGUCCCUCUGUGCACUGCUUGGAAGGUCCUGGCAGGGCUGAGCCCCAGCCACCCACGGCAGUGACCUAAUAAUGCACCGUUAUCUUGGCUCUUCUGCUCUCUCUUGUUUCCCACUCCUGUUCGUCCCUCAUUUCUGGUCCCUAGAAUGACUUCCAAAAUAAACUCCCUG
rnacentral:lncRNA from 10 species